CCGAAACCGGGCGACCUACCCAUGAGCAGGAUGAAGCGAAAGUAAAAUUUCGUGGAGGUCCGAACCCACGAGCGUUGAAAAGCUCGGGGAUGACUUGUGGGGAGCGGUGAAAUUCCAAUCGAGCCCGGAGAUAGCUGGUUCUCCCCGAAAUAGCUUUAGGGCUAGCCUCAAGGUGAGAGAUACGGAGGUAGAGCACUGAAUGUCCUAG
rnacentral:rRNA from 1 species